GGCAGCAGCCAUAUCACCCUGCAUUUUACAACUGACAGCCCACUGAAACUGAAGCAAGUGUGAGCUUGGUUAGUACCUGGAUGGGAGACCUCCUGGGAAAGCUAAGGUUUCUGCUGGAA
rnacentral:rRNA from 1 species